GGACUACCGGGGUUUCUAAUCCCGUUUGCUCCCCUGGCUUUCGCGCCUCAGCGUCAGAAGAGGUCCAGCGUGCCGCCUUCGCCACCGGAGUUCCUGUGGAUAUCAACGCAUUUCACCGCUCCACCCACAGUUCCGCACGCCCCUACCCCCCUCGAGGCCGCCAGUAUCCGGGGCAGUUCCACGGUUGAGCCGUGGGAUUUCACCCCAGACUUGGCAGCCCGCCUACGCGCCCUUUAAGCCCAGUGAUUCCGAACAACGUUCGCACGGUUCGUCUUACCGCGGCUGCUGGCAC
rnacentral:rRNA from 3 species